GAGCACCGGAGCCCAUGCGUUCUGGUUCCCUUCAAAUAUCUGUACAAAAAGAGACGAAGACAUGAAGUUAAACUCACAAUAUAGCCUAUCAUGUUCUGCCUCUAGGCCCUAGGGGGUUCUCAAUCAAAAACAAUAACAAAAGACAGCAUCGGAAUUUACUUGCUUUCAAUUUCUCCAGAUUAUAAUGACUACACUGUUCAUUCGUCACAUAUGGUGAGCUGAAUUAUCCACAGAAGUCCCCCUUUAAAACAAACAGACCAUGGACGACUCCGGUGAACAGCGUGAGGUAGAUGGCGUCCACCUCCAGCCACUGGUUCUGGUCCUUAUACUCCGCACACCAGGCUCCAUCGUACAGGUCUCCGUCCGCUAUGCCAGACUGAAAACACACGACCCACCUGGAUGUUCAGCCUCCCCCUGUGAGGACCCAGACCCGACCUCUGGGAGGAAGAAGCCCGGAUCUGGCUAUCAUCGACACGCAGAGACUCCAGGCCAAGAGGAGGACACUCUGCAAAGAAAAGGAGAUACAGUCUUGUGGAGUUGCAGAUCUUUAAGAAGCUUCUGAAGGGUUAAAAACUCUCCUCUGGUUUCUCUGAGUAAGCAAACACACUGCAGAUGUAAUUAGUGGAUGUUAUGAGAAAUAUGUAUAAGUCAUCCUGGGUUUUUGGGAGUUUUUGGAGGCCCCUUCUGCAAAGGAAACUGCAGAUAAGUGAAUCCCGUGGAGGGUUUGAAUGUAAUUUGAGACAAAGUCGGGGCAGGAAAGCUAAAAGUCCAGCAGAGCUACAGCUGCAGCACAUUUCAUGGCUCAAGGAGCCUCAUAGAUCCCAAACACCACAGUAUUGGCAGAAGGGAAGAGCUAUGCGAGUUCUCUUUAGGUCAAGGGACGGUUUGGUGGAGCAUCAUUAAAGUUAAAGGAGCAGUAUACAGAUGUCUAGUUUAGGAAGUUUACAUGACAAAUCAAUUCAUAUGUGUUGGGCUUUUAUCAAAGACUUGCAGUCAUUUAUUACAAAAGCUUCUGUUUCUCAGAAGUGAAUAUUUACUGCAUUCUUCCGUGAUGGUAAACUGAACCUAUUGUGGGUUUUGAUUCGGAAAAAACAAGCAAUUUGUAAAGGGCACAUUUUUGCUCCGUAAAAUUGGUAAAGGAUCUAAAUAUGAUUGAUGAGCAACAAUAAAAAGUAUGUAAACAAAGUUUUUAAACAAACCUGGGUUACUCUGGAGCAUUACAGUAACAAAAUGAUAUAAAGCAAUGUUUAUUCUCAAAAUGCAAAAGUCGAGUAAAGGAAAGCCAGAAAUUCAGGGGGUCCCUGAAGGCAUCAUUAAUUAAUUGGCUUCUAACAACUCUACACAAAAAUUAAAACAAAAAAUAUACUUGUUCAUACCCAGUUGUGUUUUCUUGUCGUCUGUCUUGCUCGCAUGUUUCUU